UUUUAGUGAUUUACUGCAUCGGGAUAUUUUCAAUGAUGCUGCUAAGCCUCUUGGAGACAAUUUGGGUGAAUUAUCUGAUGGAGAAAGACUCACACGAUGAUGGCCAGAUAGAGAGUGACAACAAACUGAUAAAGGCCUCUUCCAUUGAGAUGAUGGAUCAAACAACAUCUAUGUACCAAAGGGGUGGAAGCAGCCAACUGACUGGGCUCCUGGAAAAAAUCUCAAUUGAGCUUAGAGAGAUAAAAAAACAACUUUACAUGGCAAAAAAACAAAACAGAAGGGUGGUUACUGGACCAGAGUUGCCAAAAAAAUAGACAAGAUCUUUUCUACUGUAUAUAUCUUAGGAGUCCUUCUGUUUUUAAUUAUCAUCUUCUCAGAGUGGCAGUCACAAUUAAAGAGACACUAAAUAUUUUCUGCUUGUUUUAAAGAAACCGAGGAAG